UGUUCAGGUCCUGCUCUGCUGUGCACGGCAACAGGUGAUGGGGAACAAACCAUCUAGAAAA
rnacentral:ncRNA from 1 species